UGGAGGGAAAUUUUUUGUUGCCGUCGUCUUCGGGUCUAGAAGAAGGAAGAGCUCUGCCUCGUCAUCUUUGUCUUCUGGUGAACAGCUGUUAGAUCUCCUUUAUCUCUGUUCGUCGGCUUCGUGUCUCCGUGGCUAGCUUCAGAGAUCAAAACCAUAGCACAUCAGCGGAUAACAGAAGAACAAUAUGGGAAUGUCCUCCAAAAGGUUUUUGUAAGAUAAAUUGGGAUGUUGCAGUUGACUUGAGUUUGUAUAAAUAGGUAUAGGAGUUGCUAUUAGAGAUGAGCAAGGGAAUUUCUUGGCGACAAUGAGAAAGAAGCAGUCUUCCAUCCCAAACCCUCUAGUAGCAGAAGCAACGGCAGCUCUUAAAGCAGUCAUUUUUGGCCUUGAACUCGGUAUGACAAAUGUUGUAAUGGAAGGAGACUCUCAGCCAGUGGUACAGGCAAUACAGAAGAAACACCAACAGAACAACUACUUUGGAAUGAUUAUCUCAGACAUCAAAGCCUUAAUCACUAGUUUCAAUUCAUGUUACUUUAAGCAUGUAAACAGAGAAGGCAACUUAGUUGCACAUAUGUUGAGAAAAAAUGCUUUAACAGUAUCUGAAUGUGUAGUUGGAGAAAACUCCAAUUUGUAAUAAGCCUGUGUUUUUAACACAGCUUAUCAAUGGAAGAGUGAAUUUUCAAAAAACAA